CAUAUACUUCCUCUGUCCCAAAAUUCUUGUCUUAAAUUUGUCUAAAUAUGAAUGUAUCAAGUCACAUUUUAGUAUUAGAUACAUCCGUGUGUAGAAGACGAGAAUUUUGGGCCGGAGGGAGUAUUUU
rfam:Triticum aestivum genome assembly, contig: Triticum_aestivum_CS42_TGACv1_scaffold_558260_7AL